GGGGGCUUAGUUAAAUGGUAUAAUAGUGGUCUCCAAAACCACGGUUGGGAGUUCGAUUCUCUCAGCCCCCGCAA
rnacentral:tRNA from 1 species